UGUGCUUCUUGUAAACUGAAUCGCUUUUAUCCCGGCUACAGUCUGGAGGGAGCAAGUGCCAGCCGAUAGAUUAAGAUGGAGAUGAAAGCACGCGAUACGCUUGCGAUGGUGAUCCUGCCACAAGGCAUGCUGCUUAUUGAUCUGGGAAGACACUGCAGUGACUCUGUCAGAGGACAAGUACAAGGAUGCAUGUAUGAAGGCAAAUCAAGGGUACAAGUGGUGCCUCACAGCAAACCAAGCUGCGAAAACGCAGACAUCUGCUGUUACAAACAGGAAAAAGCUAUGGGCCUUUGCCUCGGACUCUGCAAAAGAUUUACCAAGCCUGAGGAAAGUGACAAGAGGUGACGAAAUGCCACAGCGUAACUUCGGGAUGGCAGGUGUUAACGUUCUUGUGGAUGAAUGUACCAGUGGAGCUAACUUCUUGUAUUUAACUCAAGAGAAGCAUAAUGAUAGCUUGGAGGGG